AAUUUCCCAAUGUGUUGGGCGCGAUUGACUGUACCCACGUGCAGAUCAGACCGCCACGUAAUUCAGAGGAAUGUUUUCGGAACCGAAAACAGUUCCAUUCCCUGAACGUGCAGGCGGUCUGUGAUGUAAAUAUGAAGUUUUUGAAUAUUUUUGUGGGAUUACCUGGAUCAUCUCACGACUCCUUCAUCCUAAGCCAGUCAUCGCUGUUUGACAAGUUUGAAACAGGAAACAUGCCUGGUGGCUGGCUGUUAGGCGAUGCGGGUUAUCCAAACAAACCGUGGCUGUUGACCCCAUUGUCUAAUCCUGUUGGUAGAGCAGAAAAACGUUACCAAGAGAAACACAUUGCAUCGAGGGGAGUAAUUGAGCGUGCCUUCGGUGUACUUAAAAGCCGGUUUCGAUGUUUAGACACUUCCGGCGGUGCUCUUUUGUACUCACCGUCGAAGGUUUGCGGCAUGGUAAAUGCAUGUUGUAUUUUACACAACAUAUGUGUCGCAAACCGUUUGCCGGUGACUCUUCGUCGUAGUGCUUUCCUACGCGGGGAACGUUCAUCUGCUCUACCGGUGGGUAUGGACGAAGGAGAGGAUUCACGUCGGACAGUGAUACAAAAUUUUUUUUCAGUUGCCUAGUUUUACAUCCUGUUGAUGUGUUUCCCUCGGUUCGUGUUUAUACAGUUUGUUCCCCCCCUGUUUUAUCCUGUGGACCUGACCCUCCGCAAUGUAGCAGACAACCACCUCAGGUACUGCGGUGUAUCUUCCCAAGUGGCGUUGAUGUGAGGAGACACGACAUUUCUCCCGAUGUUCUAUGGGCUACCUACUGAUGAUGUGGACCUGACCCUCCGCCAUGUAGCAGACAACCACCUCAGGUACUGCGGUGUAUCUUCCCAAGUGGCGUUGAUGUGAGGAGACACGACAUUUCUCCCGAUGUUCUAUGGGCUACCUACUGAUGAUGUGGACCUGACCCUCCGCCAUGUAGCAGACAACCACCUCAGGUACUGCGGUGUAUCUUCCCAAGUGGCGUUGAUGUGAGGAGACACGACAUUUCUCCCGAUGUUCUAUGGGCUACCUACUGAUGAUGUGGACCUGACCCUCCGCCAUGUAGCAGACAACCACCUCAGGUGAGAUGCAAUUGACCAACAAAACUCACUUGUCCUAAAUCAC